rnacentral:rRNA from 2 species
AAAAAGAACCUGAAACCGUGUACGUACAAGCAGUGGGAGCACAGGUUUACCUGUGUGACUGCGUACCUUUUGUAUAAUGGGUCAGCGACUUAUAUUCUGUAGCAAGGUUAACCGUAUAGGGGAGCCGUAGGGAAACCGAGUCUUAACCGGGCGUUAAGUUGCAGGGUAUAGACCCGAAACCCGGUGAUCUAGCCAUGGGCAGGUUGAAGGUUGGGUAACACUAACUGGAGGACCGAACCGAC